rnacentral:rRNA from 1 species
GUCUAUGGCUAUACCACUCUAAAUGUGUCUGAGUUCAUCUGCUCUUGGAAGGUAAGAAGGUCAGGCCUGGUUAGUGCUUGGAUU